rnacentral:rRNA from 1 species
GACGAACGCUGGCGGCGUGCCUAAUACAUGCAAGUAGGACGAGUUGCGGACGGGUGAGUAAUGUCUGGGAAACUGCCUGAUGGAGGGGGAUAACUACUGGAAACGGUAGCUAAUACCGCAUACCAUCAGAUGUGCCCAGAUGGGAUUAGCUAGUAGGUGGGGUAACGGCUCACCUAGGCGACGAUCCCUAGCUGGUCUGAGAGGAUGACCAGCCACACUGGAACUGAGACACGGUCCAGACUCCUACGGGGGGCAGCAGUGGGGAGUAUUGCACAAUGGGGGAAACCCUGAUGCAGCAACGCCGCGUGCGGGAUGACGGCCUUCGGGUUGUAAACCGCUUUCAGCCAUGACGCGGUAGUGGCAGAAGAAGCACCGGCUAACUACGUGCCAGCAGCCGCGGUAAUAC